rnacentral:tRNA from 1 species
ACUCAGAUAGCUUAAGUAAUAAAGCGUGACAUUGAAGCUGUUAAAAUGGUAAUUUUACCUUUGAGUA